CGGACGGGUGAGUAACGCGUGAGAAUCUGCCCUCAGGAGGGGGAUAACGGCUGGAAACGGCCGCUAAUACCCCAUAUGCCGAGAGGUGAAACGAAUUUCGCCUGAGGAUGAGCUCGCGUCUGAUUAGCUAGUUGGUGGGGUAAGAGCCUACCAAGGCAUCGAUCAGUAGCUGGUCUGAGAGGAUGAUCAGCCACACUGGGACUGAGACACGGCCCAGACUCCUACGGGAGGCAGCAGUGGGGAAUUUUCCGCAAUGGGCGCAAGCCUGACGGAGCAACGCCGCGUGAGGGAUGAAGGCCUCUGGGCUGUAAACCUCUUUUAUCAAGGAAGAAGAUCUGACGGUACUUGAUGAAUAAGCCACGGCUAAUUCCGUGCCAGCAGCCGCGGUAAUACGGGAGUGGCAAGCGUUAUCCGGAAUUAUUGGGCGUAAAGCGUCCGCAGGCGGUCUUGUAAGUCUGUCGUCAAAGCGUGGAGCUUAACUCCAUUUAAGCGAUGGAAACUGCAAGGCUAGAGUGUGGUAGGGGCAGAGGGAAUUCCCGGUGUAGCGGUGAAAUGCGUAGAGAUUGGGAAGAACAUCGGUGGCGAAAGCGUGCUACUGGGCUGUAUCUGACACUCAGGGACGAAAGCUAGGGGAGCGAAAGGGAUUAGAUACCCCUGUAGUC
rnacentral:rRNA from 1 species